UACGAAGGGGGCUAGCGUUACUCGGAUUGACUGGGCGUAAAGGGCGCGUAGGCGGUUCGUACAGUCAGACGUGAAAUUCCUGGGCUCAACCUGGGGGCUGCGUUUGAUACGUGCGGACUUGAGUGCGGAAGAGGGUCGUGGAAUUCCCAGUGUAGAGGUGAAAUUCGUAGAUAUUGGGAAGAACACCGGUGGCGAAGGCGGCGACCUGGUCCGAUACUGACGCUGAGGCGCGAAAGCGUGGGGAGCAAACAGG
rnacentral:rRNA from 1 species